ensembl:lncRNA
CUGCAGAACUGCUCAGCAGCGGCCCAGACAGGAACCACUAACCUGAAUGCAAAUGGGAGAGAUGCAGUCUGAGCCUCAGCCUGGGUCUAUCCACCCACACCAUGCCUGCCCCCAGCCAGAAGCAGUGCCUGUGACCCCAUGGAGAAGAGACUGUCUGUUGCCUGCUGUGAGUGAGAGGCUGCCCUCUGCCUGCUUUCAGAUGGGCACCUGUGGCUGGGAUCGAACUUGGGACCUUGUGCUUGCGAGGCAGCCAGUGUCACCACUAAGCCAAAUCCUUGGCCCCUCAUACUGCACUGUAAAAGCAGCUUUACACAGUUCUUUAAGGAUAAAAAGAUGUUCAGUGGGACUUUUCCCCGGUGUCCUGGGAUGCUGGCCAAAGCUGAGAACAAUGGGUGAGAAGUAUCUCCUCACUGUAAAGAAAGGACUGAAAAUAUCCUGCUGAACACACUCGGAGUAAGAAGCACCUUCCCAGCAACCAUUCACCCCAGCAAGGUCGAGCAGCCCAGACAGCCAGGCUUAGCCCAGAGAGGACCGUGAUGGCACCAGUGACUCCAGAGUCUUCUCUCCUGCAUUUAUCCCACUCACCCUAGUUGAAUCCAAGAUAUCCAGAAGAAAAAAUGGAGGGGUGGCCAAGAGUGAAAGACUAUUUGAGCCCCUUCCUCAUUGGAGUUGUUUGAUUCCUGGAGCUCACUAGUGAUGGGAAUCUCAAUGGAACAUGACAGAAACAAGGAACCAGACAUGUAAGUAGACAAUUACGUUAAAAUUUGCAUAAUACUAUAAAAGUGCUACAUAUAAGUUACUACGGAAAUGGGGCCUGACUUGGAGGGAAAUGGCAUCAAAAAGGGCUUCCAAGGGAAAAUGACAUUACAUUGGCUCUUGAAGUGAAAGAAGCAAGCCUGACAGAUAAGAAGAGCAGAGGAGUGGAUGGAGAUCGUUCAGAAGCCAGAAAGCACCAAAUCUUUGGCAAGCACACGGAUCCUCUGACAGGUGUCUGCAUGUGGCUGAGGGACACAGAAAGCAAGGCCAGGCUGAAGGCGUCUGUCCCAUGCUGAAGAGUUGGAAUUUUGUCCUGAAGAUGAAAGGGUAUCUUUGAGGAGUGCUAUGGGAUUGACAGGAUCCAAUCUGGACGUGGAAAGAGCUGGCAUCUUCCAGGAAAUCACAGGAGGUUGGUUCAUGGCUUCACAGAGGGGAGCAGAGAGGGGGGAUGCACAGGAGCAGCGUCUACUGGUGCUUCUUAUGGUAAUGUAGGUGUGGUUAAGAAAGAGACCCAAGAUGGGGAAAAAGCCAAUUGGAAACCUCAACUGUAAAGUGAUUCUUCUUGAAUUGACCUUAAACAGUACAUUCUUUUUUUAUAUUGGGGAUUGAACCCAGGGCCUUUUCACUAAGCUACAUUGCCAGACCUUUUAAUUUUUUACUUUACUUUGAAACAGAGGAAGCUUAAUAAGUCAAUAAGAUGUUGAGCCGGGGUUGAAACUGCUCCUGCCUCUUAGAAUGCUGGGAUUACAGGCCUAUGCCACCAGGUUCAGUUUGUACUGCUACCCUUUAACUUCCUCAAGUUUGCUCCUAGUCUGUCUUUCAACACAAACAGAGCAAUUAAGAUUAUUUUGUAGAUUACUAAAUUGCAAAUUAAUACAGACUCAUAUUGAUAAACUGCUUCAUAAACCAGAUAUUCUAUCUAUCUAUCUAUCUAUCUAUCUAUCUAUCUAUCUAUCUAUAUCUAUCUAUCUUCAUGACUGUGCUUGCCUUUGAACUUCUAGAAAAACCCAGAGUUACAAAACUCCAAGUAUUCUUUCCCAUGACAUAGUUAAUAACUGAAGAAUAGGGUGAACUUGUGGGAUUUUCUAAGGGAUAAGUAAAUAAAAGUUCAGCAGGAACACAUGCUGAGCAGAAGCAGACUUAUUGUGAGAAAAGUAAUCAUGCCUUAACUUUCCCCUCCACCCACUGGCCUUUUCAUUGCCAUGUGAUACAUGUAUUGCCAUUUAUUCCACCAUAAUGAUGAGGAGGCUGACUGCAGCUCUCUUUUGGAUACAAUACUCCCUGCUUCACAAAAGCCCCUGGGAUGAGAGAAUCAAAUAUAGAAUUUGCUGAAGGGCACAAAUAUCAGCAGUAUUCGGCUAUCCAAAUCCAACCUAAUGACAUUCUGGGGAAUCUGGGAUGUCAAAGAUGCUAUUCACCCUCAGUGACAAUUGUUCUUGCUUUCUUUUCCUACCUAGACUCUUUUUUUCCCAAAGGGAGGCUAUCUUUUGACAUAGUCAGUUACAAACCUUCACUGAAGGAAGAGGCAUGAAAAAUGAAGCAGUUUUGUGUUAAUGUACAGCUUGAGGACGUGAGGCCAAUUCCUGUCUCCACCAGCGAAGCAAGGAAUCUGUGCAGAUUUAACAGGCAGGCUUUCCUUCCUUCCUGGCAGGGCCUUACUCCUAUGGCAAAGUUGCAAUUAUGUCUUAUUUUAUAGGGAGUUUCUGUAGGUAUUUUUCAUUCUUACUUUGGUUUUUAAAUAUAUGAAGAAACAUUGCAAUUAAACACAAUCCCAUAAAGUUAAAAAAAUUCUGUAAAACACCAUCUGAAGAUAAAGAUUUAAUGAUAGAGUGAUGACAUUUACAUUGUGUUCUCCUUCCUCUUGAACUUCACUGAG